rnacentral:lncRNA from 1 species
AACGUGCGUGCGUAUCUGUAAGGAAUUCCAAUCAUUACACAACAUGACAGGCGUGCUCUCUCGCUCUCGCUCCCUCCCUCUGUUCAAGCCUCAAGGAGUGCAGCUUUCCAAACAUUGCGUCAUGAACAGCGCUAAUGCAAUGAUAAAAACUUGUUGUGAUUUGAGAGCCCAUCGGCUCCUCGGUGACGUUAUUAACUCAUCCAUCUUUGGCGCAGAGGGUGCAGAGUCCCGUAUGUCCACGGCCCAUGCAUGCAUAUCCGGCCUACCUGCCUGCCUGUACUUGUAUAUCUAUGCGACGUUGCAGAACGCACGCGCCAGCGUGCGGCGGCUGACUUGUUGGUGCAGAUAAAUCUUGGCUCUCCGUAUGCAUUACUCCUUGACAGGCCUAGAUGGUUCGGU